rfam:Brachypodium distachyon strain Bd21 chromosome 1, whole genome shotgun sequence.
UUUCUACUACCUCCGUUCCAUAAUUCUUGUCUCAAAUUUGCCCAAAUAUGAAUGUAUCUAUUCCUAAAAAGUGUUUAGAUACAUGUAACAUUUCGACACGAAUUAUGGAAUGGAGGGAGUAUUUU